UAUCUUGCUGCCCACCAGGUGAGGGCAGUAUAUCUUGCUGCCCACCAGGUGAGGGCAGUAUAUCUUGCUGCCCACCAGGUGAGGGCAGUAUAUCUUGCUGCCCACCAGGUGAGGGCAGUAUAUCUUGCUGCCCACCAGGUGAGGGCAGUAUAUCUUGCUGCCCACCAGGUGAGGGCAGUAUAUCUUGCUGCCCACCAGGUGAGGGCAGUAUAUCUUGCUGCCCACCAGGUGAGGGCAGUAUAUCUUGCUGCCCACCAGGUGAGGGCAGUAUAUCUUGCUGCCCACCAGGUGAGGGCAGUAUAUCUUGCUGCCCACCAGGUGAGGGCAGUAUAUCUUGCUGCCCACCAGGUGAGGGCAGUAUAUCUUGCUGCCCACCAGGUGAGGGCAGUAUAUCUGGCUGCUUACCAGUUUAUUGUUAUGGAUGGUUUUCAAUGUAGAAUAUACUACCUGUU